rnacentral:rRNA from 1 species
UACGAAGGGGGCUAGCGUUGCUCGGAAUUACUGGGCGUAAGCGCACGUAGGCGGCUCUUUAAGUCGGAGGUGAAAUCCUGGAGCUCAACUCCAGAACUGCCUUCGAUACUGAAGAGCUCGAGUCCGGGAGAGGUGAGUGGAACUGCGAGUGUAGAGGUGAAAUUCGUAGAUAUUCGCAAAGAACACCAGUGGCGAAGGCGGCUCACUGGCCCGGUA